rnacentral:rRNA from 1 species
GACGAACGCUGGCGGCGUGCUUAACACAUGCAAGUCGAACGGAAAGGCCCUGCUUUUGUGGGGUGCUCGAGUGGCGAACGGGUGAGUAACACGUGAGUAACCUGCCCUUGACUUUGGGAUAACUUCAGGAAACUGGGGCUAAUACCGGAUAGGAGCUCCUGCUGCAUGGUGGGGGUUGGAAAGUUUCGGCGGUUGGGGAUGGACUCGCGGCUUAUCAGCUUGUUGGUGGGGUAGUGGCUUACCAAGGCUUUGACGGGUAGCCGGCCUGAGAGGGUGACCGGCCACAUGGGGACUGCGAUACGGCCCAGACGCCUACGGGAGGCAGCAGUGGGGAAUAUUGCACAGUGGGCGGAAGCCUGAUGCAGCAACGCCGCGUGCGGGAUGACGGCCUUCGGGUUGUAAACCGCUUUCGCCUGUGACGAAGCGUUAGUGACGGUAAUGGGUAAAGAAGCACCGGCUAACUACGUG